rnacentral:misc_RNA from 1 species
GAAAUGCGAUAAGUAAUGUGAAUUGCAGAAUUCAGUGAAUCAUCGAAUCUUUGAACGCACCUUGCGCUCCUUGGUAUUCCUUGGAGCAUGCCUGUUUGAGUAUCAUGAAAUCUUCAAAGUAAAUCUUUUGUUAACUCAAUUGGUUUCUACUUUGGUAUUGGAGGUCUUUGCAGCUUCACACCUGCUCCUCUUUGUUCAUUAGCUGGAUCUCAGUGUUAUGCUUGGUUCCACUCGGCGUGAUAAUUUAUCUAUCGCUGAGGACACUGUAAAAGGUGGCCAAGGUAAAUGCAGAUGAACCGCUUCUAAUAGUCCAUUGACUUGGACAAUACUUUUAUGAUCUGAUCUCAAAUCAGGUAGGACUACCCGCUGAACUUAAGC